rnacentral:rRNA from 1 species
GGUGCUGCAUGGCUGUCGUCAGCUCGUGUUGUGAAAUGUUGGGUUAAGUCCCGCAACGAGCGCAACCCUUAUCCUUUGUUGCCAGCGAUUAGGUCGGGAACUCAAAGGAGACUGCCAGUGAUAAACUGGAGGAAGGUGGGGAUGACGUCAAGUCAUCAUGGCCCUUACGACCAGGGCUACACACGUGCUACAAUGGCGCAUACAAAGAGAAGCGACCUCGCGAGAGCAAGCGGACCUCAUAAAGUGCGUCGUAGUCCGGAUUGGAGUCUGCAACUCGACUCCAUGAAGUCGGAAUCGCUAGUAAUCGUGGAUCAGAAUGCCACGGUGAAUACGUUCCCGGGCCUUGUACACACCGCCCGUCACACCAUGGGAGUGGGUUGCAAAAGAAGUAGGUAGCUUAACCUUCGGGAGGGCGCUUACCACUUUGUGAUUCAUGACUGGGGUGAAGUCGUAACAAGGUAACCGUAGGGGAACCUGCGGUUGGAUCACCUCCUUA